rnacentral:rRNA from 1 species
UUAAGCGACUAAGCGUACACGGUGGAUGCCCUGGCAGUCAGAGGCGAUGAAGGACGUGCUAAUCUGCGAUAAGCGUCGGUAAGGUGAUAUGAACCGUUAUAACCGGCGAUUUCCGAAUGGGGAAACCCAGUGUGUUUCGACACACUAUCAUUAACUGAAUCCAUAGGUUAAUGAGGCGAACCGGGGGAACUGAAACAUCUAAGUACCCCGAGGAAAAGAAAUCAACCGAGAUUCCCCCAGUAGCGGCGAGCGAACGGGGAGCAGCCCAGAGCCUGAAUCAGUGUGUGUGUUAGUGGAAGCGUCUGGAAAGGCGCGCGAUACAGGGUGACAGCCCCGUACACAAAAAUGCACAUGCUGUGAGCUCGAUGAGUAGGGCGGGACACGUGGUAUCCUGUCUGAAUAUGGGGGGACCAUCCUCCAAGGCUAAAUACUCCUGACUGACCGAUAGUGAACCAGUACCGUGAGGGAAAGGCGAAAAGAACCCCGGCGAGGGGAGUGAAAAAGAACCUGAAACCGUGUACGUACAAGCAGUGGGAGCACGCUUAGGCGUGUGACUGCGUACCUUUUGUAUAAUGGGUCAGCGACUUAUAUUCUGUAGCAAGGUUAACCGAAUAGGGGAGCCGAAGGGAAACCGAGUCUUAACUGGGCGUUAAGUUGCAGGGUAUAGACCCGAAACCCGGUGAUCUAGCCAUGGGCAGGUUGAAGGUUGGGUAACACUAACUGGAGGACCGAACCGACUAAUGUUGAAAAAUUAGCGGAUGACUUGUGGCUGGGGGUGAAAGGCCAAUCAAACCGGGAGAUAGCUGGUUCUCCCCGAAAGCUAUUUAGGUAGCGCCUCGUGAAUUCAUCUCCGGGGGUAGAGCACUGUUUCGGCAAGGGGGUCAUCCCGACUUACCAACCCGAUGCAAACUGCGAAUACCGGAGAAUGUUAUCACGGGAGACACACGGCGGGUGCUAACGUCCGUCGUGAAGAGGGAAACAACCCAGACCGCCAGCUAAGGUCCCAAAGUCAUGGUUAAGUGGGAAACGAUGUGGGAAGGCCCAGACAGCCAGGAUGUUGGCUUAGAAGCAGCCAUCAUUUAAAGAAAGCGUAAUAGCUCACUGGUCGAGUCGGCCUGCGCGGAAGAUGUAACGGGGCUAAACCAUGCACCGAAGCUGCGGCAGCGACGCUGAUGCGUUGUUGGGUAGGGGAGCGUUCUGUAAGCCUGCGAAGGUGUGCUGUGAGGCAUGCUGGAGGUAUCAGAAGUGCGAAUGCUGACAUAAGUAACGAUAAAGCGGGUGAAAAGCCCGCUCGCCGGAAGACCAAGGGUUCCUGUCCAACGUUAAUCGGGGCAGGGUGAGUCGACCCCUAAGGCGAGGCCGAAAGGCGUAGUCGAUGGGAAACAGGUUAAUAUUCCUGUACUUGGUGUUACUGCGAAGGGGGGACGGAGAAGGCUAUGUUGGCCGGGCGACGGUUGUCCCGGUUUAAGCGUGUAGGCUGGUUUUCCAGGCAAAUCCGGAAAAUCAAGGCUGAGGCGUGAUGACGAGGCACUACGGUGCUGAAGCAACAAAUGCCCUGCUUCCAGGAAAAGCCUCUAAGCAUCAGGUAACAUCAAAUCGUACCCCAAACCGACACAGGUGGUCAGGUAGAGAAUACCAAGGCGCUUGAGAGAACUCGGGUGAAGGAACUAGGCAAAAUGGUGCCGUAACUUCGGGAGAAGGCACGCUGAUAUGUAGGUGAAGUCCCUUGCGGAUGGAGCUGAAAUCAGUCGAAGAUACCAGCUGGCUGCAACUGUUUAUUAAAAACACAGCACUGUGCAAACACGAAAGUGGACGUAUACGGUGUGACGCCUGCCCGGUGCCGGAAGGUUAAUUGAUGGGGUCAGCGCAAGCGAAGCUCUUGAUCGAAGCCCCGGUAAACGGCGGCCGUAACUAUAACGGUCCUAAGGUAGCGAAAUUCCUUGUCGGGUAAGUUCCGACCUGCACGAAUGGCGUAAUGAUGGCCAGGCUGUCUCCACCCGAGACUCAGUGAAAUUGAACUCGCUGUGAAGAUGCAGUGUACCCGCGGCAAGACGGAAAGACCCCGUGAACCUUUACUAUAGCUUGACACUGAACAUUGAGCCUUGAUGUGUAGGAUAGGUGGGAGGCUUUGAAGUGUGGACGCCAGUCUGCAUGGAGCCGACCUUGAAAUACCACCCUUUAAUGUUUGAUGUUCUAACGUUGACCCGUGAUCCGGGUUGCGGACAGUGUCUGGUGGGUAGUUUGACUGGGGCGGUCUCCUCCUAAAGAGUAACGGAGGAGCACGAAGGUUGGCUAAUCCUGGUCGGACAUCAGGAGGUUAGUGCAAUGGCAUAAGCCAGCUUGACUGCGAGCGUGACGGCGCGAGCAGGUGCGAAAGCAGGUCAUAGUGAUCCGGUGGUUCUGAAUGGAAGGGCCAUCGCUCAACGGAUAAAAGGUACUCCGGGGAUAACAGGCUGAUACCGCCCAAGAGUUCAUAUCGACGGCGGUGUUUGGCACCUCGAUGUCGGCUCAUCACAUCCUGGGGCUGAAGUAGGUCCCAAGGGUAUGGCUGUUCGCCAUUUAAAGUGGUACGCGAGCUGGGUUUAGAACGUCGUGAGACAGUUCGGUCCCUAUCUGCCGUGGGCGCUGGAGAACUGAGGGGGGCUGCUCCUAGUACGAGAGGACCGGAGUGGACGCAUCACUGGUGUUCGGGUUGUCAUGCCAAUGGCACUGCCCGGUAGCUAAAUGCGGAAGAGAUAAGUGCUGAAAGCAUCUAAGCACGAAACUUGCCCCGAGAUGAGUUCUCCCUGACUCCUUGAGAGUCCUGAAGGAACGUUGAAGACGACGACGUUGAUAGGCCGGGUGUGUAAGCGCAGCGAUGCGUUGAGCUAACCGGUACUAAUGAACCGUGAGGCUUAACCUU